UACAGAGGUGGCAAGCGUUGUUCGGAAUUACUGGGCGUAAAGGGCGCGUAGGCGGUUCGUUAAGUUCUGUGUGAAAUCCCCCGGCUCAACUGGGGAACUGCACAGGAAACUAGCGGGCUUGAGUUCGGGAGAGGGAAGCGGAAUUCCGGGUGUAGCGGUGAAAUGCGUAGAUAUCCGGAGGAACACCGGUGGCGAAGGCGGCUUCCUGGACCGACACUGACGCUGAGGCGCGAAAGCUAGGGGAGCAAACGGG
rnacentral:rRNA from 1 species